CCUACGGGAGGCAGCAGUGGGGAAUUUUCCACAAUGGACGAAAGUCUGAUGGAGCGACGCCGCGUGAGUGAUGAAGGCCCUACGGGUUGUAAAACUCUGUCAGGAGAGAAGAAUCGCCGGGAUGCCAAUACCAUCCUGGUUUGACGUUAUCUCCAGAGGAAGCUCCGGCUAACUCCGUGCCAGCAGCCGCGGUAAUA
rnacentral:rRNA from 1 species